rnacentral:rRNA from 1 species
GUGGGGAAUAUUGGACAAUGGGGGGAACCCUGAUCCAGCCAUGCCGCGUGUGUGAAGAAGGCCUUUUGGUUGUAAAGCACUUUAAGCGAGGAGGAGGCUACCGAGAUUAAUACUCUUGGAUAGUGGACGUUACUCGCAGAAUAAGCACCGGCUAACUCUGUGCCAGCAGCCGCGGUAAUACAGAGGGUGCGAGCGUUAAUCGGAUUUACUGGGCGUAAAGCGUGCGUAGGCGGCUUUUUAAGUCGGAUGUGAAAUCCCCGAGCUUAACUUGGGAAUUGCAUUCGAUACUGGGAAGCUAGAGUAUGGGAGAGGAUGGUAGAAUUCCAGGUGUAGCGGUGAAAUGCGUAGAGAUCUGGAGGAAUACCGAUGGCGAAGGCAGCCAUCUGGCCUAAUACUGACGCUCAUGCACGAAAGCGUGGGGAGCAAACAGGAUUAGAUACCCCGGUAGUCC